rnacentral:rRNA from 1 species
GAUGAACGCUGGCGGCGUGCCUAAUACAUGCAAGUCGAGCGAACAGACGAGGAGCUUGCUCCUCUGACGUUAGCGGCGGACGGGUGAGUAACACGUGGAUAACCUACCUAUAAGACUGGGAUAACUUCGGGAAACCGGAGCUAAUACCGGAUAAUAUCUUGAACCGCAUGGUUCAAUAGUGAAAGACGGCUUUGCUGUCACUUAUAGAUGGAUCCGCGCCGCAUUAGCUAGUUGGUAAGUUAACGGCUUACCAAGGCAACGAUGCGUAGCCGACUGGAGAGGGUGAUCGGCCACACUGGAACUGAGACACGGUCCAGGCUCCUACGGGAGGCAGCAGUAGGGAAUCUUCCGCAAUGGGCGAAAGCCUGGCGGAGCAACGCCGCGUGAGUGAUGAAGGUCUUCGGAUCGUAAAACUCUGUUAUUAGGGAAGAACAAAUGUGUAAGUAACUAUGCACGUCUUGACGGUACCUAAUCAGAAAGCCACGGCUAACUACGUG